UGUGUGUGCCAAAGGGUGCUCCGCUCUUACCAAUGCGAUUAAUGAACACAACGAACCAAUUGAGGGAACACUAAACAAACAACCUGCUUGUCCUUUUCGUCUGUGUUUUAAUACGGACGAGCUUCGCGUCUGCAAGGAAUCAUCCCUCUGCACGAGCACAAAGGAAAAUUAAAAAGGCAAGCAAAGGUCUGUUGUGGAAUGUCACAACUUCCUUAAGCGAUCCAGCACUUUACCCUCAGCUUAAUCACCUGACUGCAGUCCUGCUGUCUGAUUGGAUCAUCUUUUGAGACUCCGAUCUGCCAAUGACAUGUGACCCUAUCUGAAAGCGUUGAAGAAUUGAGCCUCAGCCUUUUAGAUGCCAGAUCUGUCUGUCUCAACAAAGACAGAAAGCGAAGACUCUUGUCUCAUCACCAUUCAGAUUCUAUAAAAGCAAUUAGCUUAAUGGCGACUGUGGUGACAAAGCUUUGGCUCGCUUAGGAGAUGUGAACCGCC